AUUGAACGCUGGCGGCAGGCCUAACACAUGCAAGUCGAGCGGAUGAAGGGAGCUUGCUCCUGGAUUCAGCGGCGGACGGGUGAGUAAUGCCUAGGAAUCUGCCUGGUAGUGGGGGAUAACGUCCGGAAACGGGCGCUAAUACCGCAUACGUCCUGAGGGAGAAAGUGGGGGAUCUUCGGACCUCACGCUAUCAGAUGAGCCUAGGUCGGAUUAGCUAGUUGGUGGGGUAAAGGCCUACCAAGGCGACGAUCCGUAACUGGUCUGAGAGGAUGAUCAGUCACACUGGAACUGAGACACGGUCCAGACUCCUACGGGAGGCAGCAGUGGGGAAUAUUGGACAAUGGGCGAAAGCCUGAUCCAGCCAUGCCGCGUGUGUGAAGAAGGUCUGCGGAUGGUAAAGCACUUUAAGUUGGGAGGAAGGGCAGUAAGUUAAUACCUGGCUGUUUGGACGUUACCAACAGAAUAAGCACCGGCUAACUUCGU
rnacentral:rRNA from 1 species